GAACUUUCUAGAACUCAUAGGGAGAGAGGUUUGAAGAUGAGAGCUCUUAGCCAAGAGAAACACAACUAGCACUCAAUUCAACAUCUAAUCCAACAUGAGCACACUCUCUUAUUACACUCUAGCUUCUCUAGGCCUAUAUCAACUCCUUUUUUUCCCUUAUACUCAUCAUCAAGCAUCCACACAUUCAAAUCAACCAACUCUCACAUUCAUUAAGCACAAGACAUCAAGUGAAUUCUUGCAAAUGGUCAGUUGGUCCAAGUCAUUUGGUUGGGUAAGGGAAGGCUUUUAGUCAAGUGAGUCCAGAGGUUCAAAAUAUAUGAUCUUUAAGGUGGUUUACUCUCAAAACAAGUAGCCUUGACAUUGCACAUAAUAUAUCUAAGAAAGGGACCAACUCAUGCAUACAAUGCUCAAUCUCCAUUGUUCUACCCUUUUCCCAAACAUACAAGUUACACAAUCAUUCCCAAAUGUCAAACCCAACUCACAUCUCUCACCAAAAGAUCCUAAGAACAUUAACUCCUUCUCUUUGAAAUU
rnacentral:lncRNA from 1 species